GAUGAACGCUGGCGGCGUGCCUAAUACAUGCAAGUCGAGCGAACGGACGAGAAGCUUGCUUCUCUGAUGUUAGCGGCGGACGGGUGAGUAACACGUGGAUAACCUACCUAUAAGACUGGGAUAACUUCGGGAAACCGGAGCUAAUACCGGAUUAUAUUUUGAACCGCAUGGUUCAAAAGUGAAAGACGGUCUUGCUGUCACUUAUAGAUGGAUCCGCGCUGCAUUAGCUAGUUGGUAAGGUAACGGCUUACCAAGGCAACGAUGCAUAGCCGACCUGAGAGGAUGAUCGGCCACACUGGAACUGAGACACGGUCCAGACUCCGACGGGAGGCAGCAGUAGGGAAUCUUCCGCAAUGGGCGAAAGCCUGACGGAGCAACGCCGCGUGAGUGAUGCAGGUCUUCGGAUCGUAAAACUUUGUUAUUAGGGAAGGACAUAUGUGUAAGUAACUGUGAACAUCUUGACGGUACCUAAUCAGAAAGCCACGGCUAACUACGUG
rnacentral:rRNA from 1 species